GUCCAUGCCGUAAACGAUGUCAACUAACCGUUGGGUUUCUUUGAAACUUAGUGGUGGAGCUAACGUAUUAAGUUGACCGCCUGGGGAGUACGGCCGCAAGGCUAAAACUCAAAUGAAUUGACGGGGGCCCGCACAAGCGGUGGAGCAUGUGGUUUAAUUCGAUGCAACGCGAAGAACCUUACCUACCCUUGACAUCCAGAGAAUCUGUUAGAGAUAGUAGAGUGCCUUCGGGAGCUCUGAGACAGGUGCUGCAUGGCUGUCGU
rnacentral:rRNA from 1 species